GGCAUGCUGGGGGCAUUUGCAGAAAGGGCAGUAGGAGAGCAGUUUGGAGGGAGGUAAGGCAGGAAGCACUCAGUCCUGGGCUCAGGGACUGUGACGUGCUGCUGGAACCUGCCUGGGGAGCUCAGGAAUGAGGGGAGAUGGCAAAUAAAGACCUGGCAUGAGGCUGGGGGCAGGGACAGAAAUCACCCUGGUGUCCGAGGAAGGAAAGUGGAACGCUAAAGAGGUGAGACGACCAGGGAAAGUGAAACAAGAGAGAAAGAAGGGAUGUAGAAUUGGAUUAUUGGGGUGGAAAGAGGAAGCCAGGUGGGGGAAGAGUCAGAGGAGGCUCAGGCAGAGGGCAGGAGGGGAAUUGGGAGAGGACAGCGAGCCUUCGAAAAAAUCCGGAGCUGGCACCUUCAACAGAAGCCAUGGAGCAACCCAAGAGGAGCCUGGGAGACAGCAACUUGGUGGCUGCUGAAAGACAGUUUCAGCUAAGGGGCAGGAGUGAGAGCCAGCCAGCACUGCAGAAGGUGGGGGGAAAGGCAAGCAGCCUAGAUGGUUCCUUCAAGAGGUUUGUCGAUAAAAGGAGCAGUCAAUAGGACCCAGGACAGUGGUGUGGAAUCAGGAUCUCCAUCAUGACGUUAGUGAUGGCUUUUGCCGUGGAGUACCUGUACAUUUUUUUAAAAUGGGUAGUUUGUGGCCCUAAGAAGGAUAAGACAUCAGUUUGAAAAGAGACCCUAUCAGAGUAGCAUGAAUUCUGCUAAAAUUGAAGCAGGAACAAACAUCAAGUUUAUGAUGAACUUUGGGUGAAAGAAUGGUGAAAUCAUUGAUACUUUAUAAAAAGUUUAUGGCAACAAUGCCACAAGGAAAUCAGAAGUUUACAAAUGAAUAAGUUGUUUUAAGAAGGGAUAAGAUGAUGUUGAAGAUAAAGCUUGUACCAGCAGACCACCUACAUCAGUUUACCAGAAAAAAAUUAAUCUUGUUGAUGCCCUCAUUGAAAAGGACCAAAGAGUAACAGCAGAAACAAUAGCCCACACCUUAGAUAUCUCACUUGGUUCCGCUUACACAAUUCUGACUGAGGAAUCAAAGUUGAUCAAACUUUCCACUUCAUGGAUACCAAACUGUUGCACCCAGAUAAGCUACGGACAAGGACAGAGUUUCAGUGGAAAUUUUGAGCAAGUGGGAUCAAGAUCCUG
rnacentral:lncRNA from 1 species